AAAGAUCCCUUUUUCCUAGGUUCGGGGUCCUUGCUGAAAACCCGCUGUGUCGGGCAGAAACUCAGACCCCAGCCAGCUGGAAAAUAAAAGCCUCUUAUGCAAUUGCAUUGUUGUCAUCUUUUCUGCAUCACCAAUGGUUAGACCGAUCUCAGGACCCUAACAUUUGGGGGAUUGUCUGGGAUAGAUCAACUUGGUGACAGCCAGAUUAGACACAACAGAGAAGGCUUGGCACUUUGUCACGAAAGGAGGAUUGAUCACCUCCGUCUGGGGCUUGCAGGGGGCCUUAGAGCCUGUUCUCAGACUUGUCUUGCUCUGGAAAGGAGAGUUGGCUGCCUCCGUUUGGGACUUGGAGGGGGCCUUAGAGCCUGUUCCUGAACUUACCUGGUUCUGGCAGAGAAUUCUCCGUGGAGGAACCAGCUUAGCCACCCUGGAGGCUCCACUUGAAGUUGAGGGAGACGUCUCCGAUAACCAGGAGCUCAACGAGCAUCUGCAUUGGACACCGUUUGGUCUGGCAUUUGGUCGACAGAAUUGGGCCGUGGAUUCACCAUUCACACGUGCGUCUGAUCUCAUCGCCUAAAUACGUGCAAGCUGAAAAGGAGUGGACUGAGCGUCAACACCUGCACAAUCCCCUGAAACUCCAGUUAUCCAGAUCUUCGGACCAGCCCGUGUUCCCUUCUCAACAGAACAACAGUGGAGAUGCUAGCCUUAAUUCUGUUCAUUAAUUGGAGCACCGCAACGAGUCUACUCCAGCCCUGCAAACAGACAUGGGUGCUCACGGAUGGAGAGACUGGUAACGUUUUAAAUUACACCUCUCGCACCGGCCCACUGGGUACCUGGUGGCCGGACCUUUAUUUUGACUUAAGAGACCUUUUUGAAAAAACUCGUACUAAAAAGCCUUCAUAUCAUAUCUUAAUGAAAAGGGCAUUGACAUUUGAAGACCAGAUCAAAGGGUUCUGGGCCUGUCCAGGUAACCAGAGGGCCAAUUACCGUACUUGUGGGGGAGCCGAAAGCUUCUACUGUAAAGCCUGGUCUUGCGUCACCUCCAAUGACGGUUCCCGUAAGUGGCACACAGGCCGCAACUCUGACCUUGUACAGUUCUCUUUCCGAGACUUAGGAAAUAGAGUUCCCUCAAUUAAAACCUGCUUUACAAAUAACGGCAAAAGCCAGUCGUUACUGAAAUGGCAAAAUCCUGGCUUUACUUGGGGAUUCCAAUAUUAUUCAGGCGGUGCUAUCUGGAUGGGGCCAUAUCCAGGCGGCCUCCUGACAAUUAGACUGUCUAUAGAACCCCUGGCACAGCCCGUAGGCCCAAAUAAAGUUCUACACGUACCCCACCCUUAAGGCCAAUAAUCCAACCAAAGCGAAUGGUGACCCGGUCACCUCCUUGACAAUCCCUAACGCACCCUCCCAUGCCUAUUCCCUACCACAGGAUCCCCGACCUCGAUACUUAGCCCUCUCCUUAUCCAUGUUCAAGCUGCCCUUCUGGCCCUCAAUCAGUCUAGCCCCAGUAUUACCUUCCCAUGCUGGCUAUGUUAUGUCCGUCCUCCUUUCUAUGAAGGUGUAGGGCUUGAUGCCUCCUAUAAUCUUUUUGUAUCUGACACUCCUCCCACUUGCCAGUGGACAGACCGUAAAGUGGGCCUAACUAUACAGCAAGUAAGCAGCCGAGGACUUUGCCUGGGAACUGUCCCUUCUUGUGAAAAACAUCUAUGUACAACUAUUCUCAGCAAUUUCUCCUCAGAUGCAAAUAAUAAAUGGGUACUGCCCCCAUAGGCGGUUGGUGGAUUUGUUCAAAAACUGGGCUUACCCCAUGUCUUUCCCUCUUAGUCUUUGAUGCGGCCCAGGAACAUAGUGUCUUAAUUUUAGUUCUUCCACGAAUCAUAUAUCACCCUGAGGAGGUCAUGUUCCUACAUUGGAAUUCGUUUGAGCCACUUUGCACCAAGAGAGAGCCCUUUACCACUUUGACUACAGCCACCUUGUUUAGCUGGGGAUUAGCAGGGGCAGGAACGGGCUUAGCCUCCCUUACCACCCAAGAUGCAGGGCUUCAGUCUUUCCAACUAACAACUGAGGAAGACCUAGCAAGAAUUGAGGCUGUUAUUAGCCGUUUAGAAAAAUCUCUGACCUCUCUCUCUGAAGUUGAACUACAGAAUAGAAGGGGAUUAGACCUCCUUUUCCUACAACAGGGAGGCCUCUGUGUAGCUCUAGGUAAAAAAUGAUGUUUUUAUGCUGACCACUCUGGAGUAGUCCGAGACUCUGUCUAAAGUCAGAGAAGGUCUAACAAAGAGAGUGAGAGGCUAACGAAAGCUGGUUUGAAGUUUGUUUUAACAAAUCCCCUUGGAUGACAACCCUCAUCUCCACCCCGUUAGGCCCCCUACUUAUCUUACUUCAACUCACCUUUGGCCCAUGCAUCAUAGACUGGUACAAUUUAUAAGAGACCAUCUCAGCAUUGUGCAAGCUAUGGUUCUGACACAAAGUUGUGCCCAACGUACCAGUAACAAAAGUACUAUUCUGUACAUUUUUAACAGAUGCUUCUCUGCUUCUGUAAAUCGCUUGGCAAUAGCAAUGAGCGUGAUUCCUCAUUAUGUACAACUCAAAGGGGGAAUGUGAGGGCGAGUUAGCAUAAUUACCGCCAUGUUAGGCCUUCAAGGACGGAGCCUGAGGAGUCUGGGAACUCAUAGAUAAACAGAGUACGGGUGGGCCUAGCAGCGCCAGGACAAGGUCAACCUAACCUUAACUGAGAGUCCUUAUCUAGACUUUAGCAGGUGGUGACAGCUGGACCCUCACUUCACAUACCUCCUCCCUUGUGUGCUGCAUACUAUGGAAAAUUACUGACUGUAUAUCCUGUAUUGCAAUCCUGAGCUAUAAAAGAUCCCUUUUUCCUAGGUUUGAGGUCCUUGCUGAAAACCCGCUGCGUUGGGCAGAAACUCAGACCCCAGCUAGCUGGAAAAUAAAAGCCUCUUAUGUAAUUGCA